rnacentral:rRNA from 1 species
UACGAAGGGGCUAGCGUUGCUCGGAAUCACUGGGCGUAAAGGGUGCGUAGGCGGGUCUUUAAGUCAGGGGUGAAAUCCUGGAGCUCAACUCCAGAACUGCCUUUGAUACUGAGGAUCUUGAGUUCGGGAGAGGUGAGUGGAACUGCGAGUGUAGAGGUGAAAUUCGUAGAUAUUCGCAAGAACACCAGUGGCGAAGGCGGCUCACUGGCCCGAUACUGACGCUGAGGCACGAAAGCGUGGGGAGCAAC